CGGACCAAAUAAACAGGACAUAGAUUUUUUCACAUUCAGUUUUAACAUCCGCACCCAAGAAUGAACACGUAGUUAAAAUCAAGCUAAGGAGAAUUGACAAGAGCUAUAGUUUUUUUUUCUGAGAAGUGAUACAAAGAAAAUAUUAUGUGUAUAUAGAGAAAAAUCCAGAAGGUCAAGUAACCAGUUUUCCUAGUAAGCUGCUGAGCGACAAAAGAAAAUCAAGGCGUAGCCCCCUGCUGCCAAAUAAAACAAAAAAAAAAUUGCAAAUAUAGGAAAAAUCAAUUUCCUUUGCCUUUUGGAGAAUCUUUGCUGUAUGAAAAUGAAGAGCUGGCUUUGAGUUUUUUUCUUUUGGAAAAUUGCUGUAAGUAAGGCAUAACCAGGAUUUGGGGCAUCAUGGAACACCUGAGAUUGCCCUAUGGCCUGGGCGUUACCCUGGCCAUAGUUUUGUUAAGCUGUUCUUUGUUACAAGGUAUGUAUGCUGAGGAUUAUCUGUAGUCUUACAUUGACAUAAUAUUUAUUGAUUGUUUAACCCCUUUAGUUUGAAUUAUGGCUAAACUAAAAUAUUUUUUUUUGUUUUUAUUUUCUGGUUAAUUUAAAUUGAGAAUUUUUUUGGUUUUCCCUUUCUAUAUAAAUUUUUGAGAAAAAAACUCCUUAUUCCCCCAUGAAAAAAUAAAACAAAGAAAUUUAACAACUACUUAAUUUAGCGAGUUAUGUAACAGCUUCCCAAAAAAAAAACAUUGAAAAUGAUUACUCUAAAGCAGAGAAAAAAAAAAACAAAGAUAACACCAGGAUGAUUUUAAGGCGAAAACGCUAAGAAAAAGGAACCACAAAAAUACUUAUAUACCAAAAAUAUAGAGCGAACACACACAAAAAGUAAAGCGCAAAACAAUGAUUUGAUUUUUUUCUAAAGUUUUACGAAAAGAAACUAUUUGAAAAAGAAAACUUUGACAAUUUUUUAAAAUAUCCCAAAAAAAAACCAAAAACCCAUAGUAGACACAAAGACAGACAAAGCAGAUUUCCAACUAAGAACUCACAGCUACUCUGAACACUAGAACCUAGGAUAGCCUUUUAACUGGGAAUUUUAAAAUUUGUCAAAGUUUUUUAUCCACCAGCAUUUAACUCCUCACAAAGACCUUCGUAUUAAGCCCUCUAAAAAAAAAUCCAAAGUUUACCUUUACCCUUAACCCCUAAACCAAGCCUGCCUUACAGAAUCUCGACAAAAUUUAAUUGCAUUCAUAGUUUUUUUUAAUGCCUGAUAUAAGAAUUAGAAAAUUCAAAAAAAAAUUUUUAAAAAUUCAGUACACUUGUUUUUUUUUUGUCUUCAUGCCUAAGUUUUACUUAUUUUUCUAAUACAAAACUAAACAAAGAAUUUUUGCCAACCCCUUAUUCAGUUUAGGAACUUUUUUCCGUUUUUUUGAAAAAAAAAAAAAAUUAAAAAAAAACAAUACAUAUAUAAUAAAUACAUAGAUAUAUACAAAAGUGAAAUACCACCUAAAUAGCAUUGUAAUCAAAUGAAAUAUUUGUAAUAGCAUCCUCUCUCUCCCCCUCAACCCCUUGAGUUUCUGUUGGAGAAAAAAGCCUUUUCCUUCUUCUUCUUCUUCAUUCUUCUUCUUCUACUUUUGCCACCACUACGAGUACUACACUUUUCACUUGGCCCCCUCCCCGGCCAAGUGUUUCAAAAAAGCCAACAGCGAUGAUAAAAAGAACAAGCAAAAUAGACAAACGCAAACCUUAAGACAAACCGAAACGAAAACAAGCCCCUAUACCAUAAUAAGGGUUGCGUUUUGUGAUACUUAACAAAUAUGUACACUGUAAAAAAAAAUAACCAAAACUACAAUGUACAAAUUCAAAAGAAUGCAAACAAACAAAAAAACAACAACAACAAUCUAAUGAUGUUUUUCCCCAAACUCCCAUUAGUGAUGAUGUUAAAUAAAAAAAAAAAAAAAAAAAAAACGAAAAAGAAAA
rnacentral:sRNA from 1 species